rnacentral:rRNA from 1 species
GACGAACGCUGGCGGCGUGCUUAACACAUGCAAGUCGAACGAUGAAGCCUUUCGGGGUGGAUUAGUGGCGAACGGGUGAGUAACACGUGGGCAAUCUGCCCUUCACUCUGGGACAAGCCCUGGAAACGGGGUCUAAUACCGGAUAACACUCUGUCCCUCAUGGGGCGGGGUUAAAAGCUCCGGCGGUGAAGGAUGAGCCCGCGGCCUAUCAGCUUGUUGGUGGGGUAAUGGCCUACCAAGGCGACGACGGGUAGCCGGCCUGAGAGGGCGACCGGCCACACUGGGACUGAGACACGGCCCAGACUCCUACGGGUGGCAG